GACGAACGCUGGCGGCGUGCCUAAUACAUGCAAGUCGAACGAAGCUGUUUUAACUGGUGCUUGCACCGACUUAAACAACUGAGUGGCGAACGGGUGAGUAACACGUGGGUAACCUGCCCCAAAGCGGGGGAUAACAUUUGGAAACAGAUGCUAAUACCGCAUAACCACAGAAACCACAUGGUUUCUGUGUCAAAGAUGGUUUCGGCUAUCACUUUGGGAUGGACCCGCGGCGUAUUAGCUAGUUGGUAAGGUAAUGGCUUACCAAGGCAAUGAUACGUGACCGAACUGAGAGGUUGAUCGGCCACAUUGGGACUGAGACACGGCCCAAACUCCUACGGGAGGCAGCAGUAGGGAAUCUUCCACAAUGGACGAAAGUCUGAUGGAGCAACGCCGCGUGAGUGAAGAAGGUUUUCGGAUCGUAAAACUCUGUUGUCAGAGAAGAACGUGUGCGAGAGUAACUGUUCGUGCAGUGACGGUAUCUGGCCAGAAAGCCACGGCUAACUACGUGCCAGCCGCCGCAGUAA
rnacentral:rRNA from 1 species